AAAUAAAAGCGGUUAAAGUUAAAAUACGUUAAAAUUGCACAUAGGUUCAAAGUAUUUUAAAAUUAGAUAAUUUAAGCGAAAUACAACAAUUGAGCGACCGUGCUAGAACCAGGGAACUCGAGAGUGCCUAACACCUUCUCCUGGGUUACCAGAAUUCCUUACUCAGAUUUGUGGCUCGCAAACUGUAAUACAGAGUCAAACCUUCCUCGAUUCGGGAUUAAAACCGGUAACGUGGGACACCAUGAAUUAUCCCAAGUGGCGACUCUGAACUCUUUAAAUAAAUAAAUCCCGUUUUGAUUGUCCUUUAGUUGGAAAAGUCCAUUUAUAUAUGCCCUUUGCGGGGUGUAGUGGUUAAAAAAGAGAUGUGAUAUCUUUGGCUACUCUGCUGAGUAUCGAACCCAGAUUCUCUGGCUCUGGAUU
rnacentral:lncRNA from 1 species